AAAAUAAUCAAAUGUAAUCAGUUACAUUGCUUCUAAUUCAAUUGAAGUAAUUGAAAUAGUUACACUACAUUUUGAAAUAGGGUAACUUGUAACCUAUAAGCUUGUAAACUUCUAAAAUCUAUUAUAUUUCCAAAGUAACCUUCCCUACACUGAAUGAUAAUCUUCUCAGAUUAACACAGUUACUUACUAUACCACGGCUGCACCACCAUUAAGUUUAUACAAGUUUGAAAUUUUGUAUUUUUUUGCAAUUUUACACAAUGGAGCUGUGAAAGUGGACAAGUGAAUAAACUAGUGUACUUGUUUGGCAUCAUGGCAUUUAAUGUCCCAGACAAACUGUUCAAGGUGUUAGCAGCUGCCUUCUUCAAGACACAUAAAUCCUUAAAAAAAUAAAUCAGGCAUUACUGGUGUAUUUUAUGUCAUGGAAUAAAAUGUUAUACCACAGACCAUGUGAAACACAGACCUUUAGCCUUUUUAGUUUUUAACACCGACCAUUUAACCAAAAACCCUGUCUGACUUGAGUAUACUUGUGUACAUUGUAUAUAGGCGUAAUGUAUACUCCAGGACAGCAGGUGGCGCGAUCGACAUUCAGUUGCUAAGCAACCCACAGAAAAACCACUCGACGCUUCCCUCUCGAGUCCAACAUCGCAAACGACCCACACAACACAACACAGUCUGGAAGUGAAAUUCUAACUGCCGUUUUGUCUUUUGCAGCUUUAAUACUUCAAGAAAUCAUGUACCACAUUGUCAGUUUUGUUGACACUGAAGAAGUGGAGGUUGUGCCUGUAAUCUGGGUGAAGAGUGGUGUGUGUUUAUGGCCUCCAUACAAAGGUGAAAGAGUUCAGAGGGCAGCCAAGUGUUUGGAGCAACCCCAGGAGUCUUGGUCUGCAUAUAAAGUAAAAAUAAUGUAUACUACAAAUAAUUAUAGUGAAGCAUGCCGGAAGCUACCUCUUGCAGAACAGCAGACCGAUCUCCAGUUAGAGGCUGUGCCUGACUCCCUGAUGCCACCAAAAUGCAAAAUAAAACGAGACAGGUGUCUACUGGAUGAUUAUGACUGUGAUGAGGAGACUACCACACCCCUAAAAAACAAUUUACCACAAGCCCCUCAAAUACAGCCACUGUCCAAAAGGAUUUGUUCAGCUUCUAAUGAGCUACAACCAAGUCCUCUAGGACAAAGUCAAAAUCAAUCCCCGGGUGUGACACAGAUUGCAGAAACUUCACGACCAUCCUUGUUGGAGAUAAGUCCUGCCUCCGAGUGGCAUGAAAAUACUCUGCUGCCUCACCAGAUUUCCCAGCAGCCGUGGCAAACAAGAAGUUCUGACAGAGCAUCACAAGACAUCACAGAACCUAACAGUGAACUGACAUGGCCACAGGACACAACUGUACAGUCUCCCGAGCAGCCGGCACAGUCACCGUGGCAUCAUGAAACACCCAGACCCCAGAGAAAAAGCCUCUCGAGCUAU
rnacentral:lncRNA from 1 species